rnacentral:ncRNA from 1 species
AUAGCCCCUUCGUACGAAAGGAGUUGGGUAUAUUGACCUAUGGUUUACCUGUUGUUUAUGCUAUAUAUUAUAUAUUAUAUACUAUAUAAUAUAUCGUUUACUUAUACUUAAGUAAAUUGUUCACAUAGGCAUGGCAGGAAGGCUACGUCAGUUAAAGAUAAGUGCUGAAAGCAUUUAAGCGCGAAGCUUA